CGUUCAGGGGUAAACCUGCGAAACUCGAAUGAACGAACGGGGAGAUUCAUCGAUAUUCGACAAGCGACGCGAUCGUGGUGCGAUGGGUAGCCCUCCGGCGGUUUCGGCUGUCCAGUGCGAGUUGCUCACGCUCACGGUUGUCGUCACGUUUGGCGACGUCGUGCACUUCUCCCUUAGUACUGCAUCGCGACCCGCUCGAUGUCGACCUAAGCUCUGUUCGGGAGUCCGGGGUGCUGUUCACAGCGCCUCGAWCCGUGACGGAUGCCGGUCGGCUGUCGGGCGGUAUUUGACAUGAAUCACGCACGCGCUUGUCGCGUCCGGCCCGACGCAAGGUCGUCGCGACGCGUCUGUUACGCCCGAGUGCGUGCAGUUCGCGUCCGGCGCCUGCUUCUCGCAGCCGUGCGUCUCGGACGUGCGUGUAUCGAGUCUUGCGAUGUUUUUGUUUCGGGCACUCGCAGGACCCGUCUUGAAACACGGACCAAGGAGUCUAGCAUGUGUGCGAGUCACUAGGUACUCGACUAAACCGAAAGGCGCAACGAAAGUGAAGGUGGAUGCAUGUCAUCCGCUCGGGGAGGAUGACGAACGGCUCACAAGGCCGCCGUCCGCACUCCCGAGGCGUCCCGUUCCCAAUCUGCGGAUGUGGGCGCGCUCAGAGCACACAUGCUGGGACCCGAAAGAUGGUGAACUAUGCCUGGUCAGGUCGAAGUCAGGGGAAACCCUGAUGGAGGACCGUAGCGAUUCUGACGUGCAAAUCGAUCGUCGGAACUGGGUAUAGGGGCGAAAGACUAAUCGAACCAUC
rnacentral:rRNA from 1 species